rfam:Candidatus Xiphinematobacter sp. Idaho Grape, complete genome.
GGGGGCGAAAAGGUUUCGACUGAGGGUUGAAGCUAUACCUGCAUGCCGAGGAAGACUCGUUGGCCUCGUAAAAAACCGAGUCGAAAAAAGAUAACUGCUAACUACAGGAAUCAACCAGGCGUGGUCGCAGGCAGUCCUGCGGUUGCGCUGCUCGGCUAGUAAAGGGCCGUGGCGCCUUCUUCUUGAAGCCUGCUAGAGAAGAAAAGGCGACGAUAGCAGGCUGGCCGGAUGUAAUGUGUCUACACAGGCGGCGAGGUGAAGUACGGACACUAGAGAGGUAGUCAAGGAUGGUGGCCUUUCGGGCGACCUCUGACAGUAGAGAGGGCCACGUAAGCAUGUAGACGGUAGGGCAGAUAGCUUUCAGGACACGGGUUCGAUUCCCGUCGCCUCCAG